CAGCAUUACACAAUGUUGUUCUGGUUAUCGAACAAUCAAUGGUUCCUGUACAGCGUGUGUUGGUUUUUAUGGGCAGAAUUGUACACAUCCAUGUAAAGAUGACUAUUACGGUGAAAAAUGUGAGCUUCGCUGUAAUUGUUCCUUGGGUGAAAGUUGCAACCCUUAUGUAGGAUGUCUCUCAGAUGAGACAAGAGAAAGAAGUUUCUCAGGUGAGACAGGUGAGACAGGUUUCUCAGGUGAGAC